CCGGCGGAAUCGGACGUCCACUGUCCCCGGCGCAAUUAAGCAGUGGUUCUCUCACGCAAACUUCGUCUUCGGCGGAUGAAGGUGUCCAUCCUGUGACUGAGAAUGAAGCAAUUUCGGCGGAGGAGCAGACUUUCUUUUCCGUCUCCAAACGAGCGAAGAGGCGCAGGGGCGAGACAAUAACGCCCAGAAGUUAUUGAAAUGAAACGCCAUUAAAUGAGCUGACACAAGAAGAGGAAGAACCAGCAGUGCUAGCCUUCACCACGGAGGGAAGGAAGGGAAGCAGAAAAACCCCCACAGCAAAACACAAUGAGGACUAGACAAGCGUAAUGAAAAAUAGGUCCAGACACGAAGACGGCAUCAGACACACACACACACACACACACACACACUGCAACGAGGCUAUCUGUGGUCUACCAUCACCCUGCCACACACAUACACACGGCUGUUACGGUAAGAACCAGAGACAGAAUCAGGAGUGAGGAAGACAAUCAUGGUGUGACUGUGAGAAAAACAAACUCAUUAUCCACUGAUGUUGAUUUCCCCGUCACGUGACCCAAAUUGACUCCACGUUUCCCAAAAACACAGAGAGUUAAUUUGAGUCAUUUCACGUCUCAGGAUACACUCUGAAAGCUAGUUUAUAAUUCUUACAUUUGGAAUUAUAAAACACAGAAAGACACGAUGCGUCUCUGUAUGUGUGAGCAUGAAGAGAAAAAAAAAAUCUGCUUUAUUUUAUUUCCAUCACUCAAACCAGCCUUCACUAGUUAACUUCAGCAGCUGCACCGCAUAUUCCACAAACCCCAGCUACCCCCUUAAACCCACCCUGUGCCCCUCCCUGGCUUCCCAGCAUCCUCUCUCGCCCUGACUCCAAAAAAAAAAUGCGUGCAGAAAUUACAGCACACGAAGGCAGCGUUGUGGGAAACCCCUCCCUCCUUUUAAGUGCUAUGCAUGACCUUAUUCUGAUAUGUUUAGAAGGGGGGGGGGUUUAUUUUAAUCUCCAUUUCACUGUUAAACAGCAGGCUGUUCAUUUGUUUCUACACAUACAGUAGCUAUAGUUCAGAGAACAGUUUAUUUAUAUUUAUUUAAUAUUUAUCUUUUUGGCAUGUGUGCAUUACUGAGUGUGGAAUGUCUGAAGGCAGCUUUUUUUUUGGUUUUUCCCACUGAAUAAUUCUGUAACAAACCAGCAGUGGCUGACAAAAAAGAAUAGGCUCGGAUAGAAAACCAUGCAGUGGAAUAGAUUGUGUGUUAUUGUUAAUGCAGGUCAAAGAAGGGGGGGGGCAAAAUAAAAGUGAAUCAGUCAAAAUAAGAAAUACUACUAAGUGCCGUUUGUAGGCAAGCUACUUAAAUCAGAGCGCGACCCCAUUAUCUUGGUUCCUAGCUUCAGGUUAACUCAUGGCACCACCCUUGUGGCGAGCCUGUUCCUAACCAGCUGUAAUGACACACUCCAUCAGUUUGGCUCUGCUCGUGCGGCGCUUGCUUGGUUAACAGUCGGCCCGAUGUGCAGUGUGUGUGCGUGAGUGUGUGUGUGCGUGUGUGCACCGGCUAUUAAAACACUUCAGUCAGAGACGAAAGGACUCGCACUGCUAAUGGAUGUAUCUAUCGAUGUUCCCAUUUAGCAGCACACUGUAAACGAUAGGGCAAUGAUUGUGUUGAAGACAGGAGGAGUGGAGAGUGGUUUGGCGGGCCAAUGAUAAUGACAAGGAAGGUUACAAUAUGGCGCCCUGCACAGUCUCUCUCUCUCUCUCUCUCUCUGGUUUAUGUGUGUGCGCAAGGGUAAGAGCGAGUGAGACCGCGGUUCUCUUCCUCCAUAUCUCGCUGCUGUCGCUCCCCCAGUCGACUUGCCAUUUUUUCACUUCUCUUUUUUUUUUUCUUGCCACUCCACUCCUCUCUCACGACAUUACUCACUGCCGCUAGUCCACAUCAGUGCCCGUCUCUCCUGCACAUGUUUUUCUCUUUUCUCAAUGGCCCUGCAGUGUAGAUUGUUUUUUUUGUUUGCGAUGGCGGGUGAAAUAUUAUAAAACAAAGUGAAAGACAGAAUAACGCAGCAGAGGCAUCUAAAUAGUUAGGAUAGCAGGUUGUCCUUGAAAUAUUCAUUCACUCACUCCUAGUUUUUCCCCUCUUCUGUGUGUGUGUGUGUGUUGUCAUUUCUAAUCAGUGUGUGUGUGAUGAUUAUGAAUCGAGUCAGUCUGCCUGCAGGUUUGGCAGGAGACCACCGCCAGCUGGACUCAGACCCCUAACUCCAGUGUGUCGGUUUGUGUUAAUGUGAGUGUGGUCGCACAUGUCAGGGCGUAUCUGUCAGCGCGGUGACAACCUGAGGAUAAAAUAAUGAAACGUAUUCAAAAUAACACAAAGGAGUCAAGUUUUGCCUCUGUCGUUCGAGGUGUAUAAUGACGUAUUGAAACUAGGCUUCUAGAGCUGCAAAUAUGGCAAGUAUUUGGCUGUUUAACGUCAAAUUCUCAGUGCAGGCAACUCUGCAUUUGCCACAAUUACUGUAAUCAACCACAUUAUUUCUCAUCCGCAGUGUUUAUGUUCCUUUAAAAUGUUGUCGAAGUAGUAAAAAGCCCAUCUGUGUCUGUGUGUGUGCACGUCCGUAAUCGCAGGGCAGAAGAUUAAGUGGGCAAUGCCAUUAUAGCUGUGAGGAGAUGGAAGAAGUCUGCAUACAUACAUAUAUUCACACACUUACUCACACACACACACAGAGAAACACACAGAGCUGGAGGCGUGUGAGCAUUAAGUCAGGCAGCUAAACAGAUCACGUUGUGGUAUGAUAUCUGCAGACAGGCAGACAGAGGAGGCCGGUUUGUACCUGCAGGCAGAGAGCAACGACUCACAGAACCCUCGCCAAGAAUUCCCUCCCCCUCCUUAGAGACCGGGAGAGGGAGUAACUGAAGGUGAGAGAAAGACAGGAAAGACAAAGUGGAGUUUCCACUGUAAGAUGUGUGUCUAUGUCUGUGUUUAAUGUGAACCAAUGUCUGAACACAACUGGUAACGUUUCCCUUGUUUGAUCUGAUUAUCGUCACAACACACUGUAGCUUUAAAUAGAAAGCACCAUUUUUGCUGCGGUUAAGAAAAAUCGCGAUAAGCACAGUGGAGACUCUGAGCUUAUCAGAUACCAGAAAAAAAAAGGUUAAAAUAAAUAAAGGUGCAUUUAAAACUGA